UUCCUACUCCCUCCGUUCGAAAUUACUUGUCGUAGAAAUGGAUGUAUCUAGAUGUAUUUUAGUUCUAGAUACAUCCAUUUCCGAGACAAGUAAUUCCAAACGGAGGGAGUAGUGA
rnacentral:pre_miRNA from 1 species